UACAGGGGGGGCAAGCGUUGUUCGGAAUUACUGGGCGUAAAGGGCCCGUAGGCGGCCAACUAAGUCACACGUGAAAUCCCCAGGCUUAACCUGGGAACUGCGUGUGAUACUGGAUGGCUUGAAUUCGGGAGAGGGAUGCAGAAUUCCAGGUGUAGCGGUGAAAUGCGUAGAUAUCUGGAGGAAUACCGGUGGCGAAGGCGGCAUCCUGGACCGACAUUGACGCUGAUGAGCGAAAGCUAGGGGAGCAAACGGG
rnacentral:rRNA from 1 species